GAGAAAUUUGGAAUCUGACCACGCUUACACGUUUAGUUUUGGGUGGGAAUGACCUGACAGGUGAAAUUCCAAAAGUCAUUGACAAUCUCUAUAAUUUGGAGAAACUAGGCAUGGAGAAUGCUAAUGUGACAGGUAUACUACCUCAAGAGGUUGGUAAUCUGAGCAAGUUGGAAGUUGUACAGUUGACCUCAAAUAGGUUGAGAGGUCCC